rnacentral:rRNA from 1 species
UACAGAGGUCUCAAGCGUUGUUCGGAUUCAUUGGGCGUAAAGGGUGUGUAGGCGGCGCCGUAAGUCGGGUGUGAAAUUUCGGAGCUUAACUCCGAGACUGCAUUCGAUACUGCGGUGCUUGAGGACUGGAGAGGAGACUGGAAUUCAUGGUGUAGCAGUGAAAUGCGUAGAGAUCAUGAGGAAGACCAGUGGCGAAGGCGGGUCUCUGGACAGUUCCUGACACUGAGACACGAAGGCCAGGGGAGCAAACGGG